rnacentral:rRNA from 1 species
AUUGAACGCUGGCGGCAGGCCUAACACAUGCAAGUCGAGCGGAUGAAGGGAGCUUGCUCCUGGAUUCAGCGGCGGACGGGUGAGUAAUGCCUAGGAACCUGCCUGGUAGUGGGGGAUAACGUCCGGAAACGGGCGCUAAUACCGCAUACGUCCUGAGGGAGAAAGUGGGGGAUCUUCGGACCUCACGCUAUCAGAUGAGCCUAGGUCGGAUUAGCUAGUUGGUGGGGUAAAGGCCUACCAAGGCGACGAUCCGUAACUGGUCUGAGAGGAUGAUCAGUCACACUGGAACUGAGACACGGUCCAGACUCCUACGGGAGGCAGCAGUGGGGAAUAUUGGACAAUGGGCGAAAGCCUGAUCCAGCCAUGCCGCGUGUGUGAAGAAGGUCUUCGGAUUGUAAAGCACUUUAAGUUGGGAGGAAGGGCAGUAAGUUAAUACCUUGCUGUUUUGACGUUACCAACAGAAUAAGCACCGGCUAACUUCGUGCCAGCAGCCGCGGUAAUACGAAGGGUGCAAGCGUUAAUCGGAAUUACUGGGCGUAAAGCGCGCGUAGGUGGUUCAGCAAGUUGGAUGUGAAAUCCCCGGGCUCAACCUGGGAACUGCAUCCAAAACUACUGAGCUAGAGUACGGUAGAGGGUGGUGGAAUUUCCUGUGUAGCGGUGAAAUGCGUAGAUAUAGGAAGGAACACCAGUGGCGAAGGCGACCACCUGGACUGAUACUGACACUGAGGUGCGAAAGCGUGGGGAGCAAACAGGAUUAGAUACCCUGGUAGUCCACGCCGUAAACGAUGUCGACUAGCCGUUGGGAUCCUUGAGAUCUUAGUGGCGCAGCUAACGCGAUAAGUCGACCGCCUGGGGAGUACGGCCGCAAGGUA